rnacentral:miRNA from 1 species
AAAACAGAAUGUUAUUACGUUGUCUAUAUAUACCCUGUAGAACCGAAUUUGUGUGGUAUUCACAUAGUCACAGAUUCGAUUCUAGGGGAAUAUAUGGUCGAUGCAAAAACUUCACCUUUCUGCAAAUGGUUAGAAUUUUAAAUAU